AAUCAACGCUGGCGGCGUGCCUCAGACAUGCAAGUCGAACGAUUAAAGCUCUCUUCGGAGAGUGCAUAGAGUGGCGCACGGGUGAGUAACACGUAAGUAAUCUACCUUCGAGUGGGAAUAACGUCCGGAAACGGACGCUAAUACCGCAUAAUGCAGCGGCAUCGUAAGAUGACAGUUGUUAAAGAUUUAUCGCUUGAAGAGGAGCUUGCGGCAGAUUAGCUAGUUGGUAAGGUAAUGGCUUACCAAGGCUACGAUCUGUAACCGGUCUUAGAGGACGGUACGGUCACACUGACACUGAAUAACGGGU
rnacentral:rRNA from 1 species